rnacentral:lncRNA from 1 species
ACAUCCUAAAACAUGAUAUAAACUUAGUCGAAUCCUCAAAUCACGUCAAACAAUAACCUUUCGUUCAACUUUCAAACAUCGUCGAACACAUCUAAAUUACACUUAAAUAUUCCGGAUUGAUGCCAAACUUUACGUGCUAGAAAACAAUCACUAUAUGAACCUAUUUCAAUCCUCGAAACUCCAAAUAGACAUUGAUAACAUCAAAGUCUACUUUAAACCAUACUUAGGAGAUUCUUAAGCUUUAAAUUUGCCAACUUUCCUUAAUAAGCUCUUAAAUUCUCCCGGACCACUAACAUUGAAUCCGAACAUAUGCCCCAGUCUGAAAUCAUCGUAUAAACUUAUUGGAACCUUCGAAUCUGGAUUCGGAGGUUGUUUACUCAAAAGUCAAACAUUUGUCAACUCUUCCAACUUAAAGCUUUUGAAUUUUCCAUCUGACUCAACUUUGAACUUUUUGAAAAUCAAAUUCCGACUCCACGUACAAGUCAUAGUACAUGAAGUGAAGCUACUCAAGGACUUAAAUGACCAAGCGACGCGCUAGAUCUCAAAACGACCGGUUGGGUCGUUACAAUAACCACUUGUAUAAUUGGCACCGGUAAAUAGAAUUUCCUUGCUACUCAGUGUUAGUCAUCAUGUGACCUCAAAAUAGUCAUUGACACCUUUUUUUUAAUCAAAGU